rnacentral:rRNA from 1 species
UACAGAGGUCUCAAGCGUUGUUCGGAUUCAUUGGGCGUAAAGGGUGCGUAGGCGGCGCGGUAAGUCGGGUGUGAAAGCUCGGAGCUUAACUCCGAAACUGCAUUCGAUACUGCCGUGCUUGAGGACUGGAGAGGAGACUGGAAUUUACGGUGUAGCGGUGAAAUGCGUAGAUAUCGGGAGGAACACCCGUGGCGAAGGCGGCUCUCUGGACCGCAACUGACGCUGAGACGCGAAAGCGUGGGGAGCAAACAGG